rnacentral:rRNA from 1 species
UACAGAGGUCCCAAGCGUUGUUCGGAUUCAUUGGGCGUAAAGGGGUGCGUAGGCGGCGCGGUAAGUCGGGUGUGAAAUCUCGGAGCUUAACUCCGAAACUGCAUUCGAUACUGCCGUGCUUGAGGACUGGAGAGGAGACUGGAAUUUACGGUGUAGCGGUGAAAUGCGUAGAUAUCGUAAGGAAGACCAGUGGCUGAAGGGCCGGGUCUCUGGACAGUUCCUGACGCUGAGGCACGAAGGCCAGGGGAGCAAACGGG